UACGUAGGGGGCAAGCGUUGUCCGGAUUUAUUGGGCGUAAAGAGCGUGUAGGCGGCCAGGUAGGUCUGGUGUGAAAACUCGAGGCUUAACCUCGAGAUGUCAUCGGAAACCAUCUGGCUAGAGUCCGGAAGAGGAGAGUGGAAUUCCUGGUGUAGCGGUGAAAUGCGCAGAUAUCAGGAAGAACACCAAUGGCGAAAGCAGCUCUCUGGGACGGUACUGACGCUGAGACGCGAAAGCGUGGGGAGCGAACAGG
rnacentral:rRNA from 1 species